GUUACGAGCAGGAAGGGUAGCGGCGCCGAGCCUCCCCUCGGGGCUGUCCUCGCCCGGCUCUCUCUCCGGCGUGUGCCAGCCGGACCUUCGCCUCUUGGCCCGAAAAGGGGCCGAAGCGGCCGUGUGGCCACGUCGCUGUGGCCUGUUAUUUCAGAGUCCUGUUUAGAAAAAAAAAUAUCGAAAAUAUACCCAUUGACGUGAUGACAGAUGAAGACAUGAACGGGGAGAAAAGCAACACAAAAGCAAGGCUUCGGAAAUACGCGGAACAGGAGUAUGGAGACGACACAUCAUCAGAGACUCAACCAGCUAAAGCAGCAGCAAAGGAAACCUUAAAAUAUAAAACACUUGAAACGUUUUCUGGAGCCUUGAAGUCAGGGCAGACAGAAGAAAUCUAUCAAGAUUACUAUCCAGAGUACCUUCAAGAAAGUAGAACUCUGCAGGAGCUUUCAAAGCCAGUUCCUCAUAAGAAGAAAGAGGUAUCAAAGGAAAAAAAGGGCCCAACUAACGCUUGUCCAAAAGUUAAGAAGAAAAGGCUUGCGUCGUAUGAUAGGACAGAACCGGAGGAUGAUGAUGUGACAAGACAUAUUAUAAGGCUACGAGAAAAGUUUGGCUGGCAAACAAUGUUACCGCAGCGCUGUUUGGAGUACAAAAGUUCCAAACUUGCAGUUCAGAAGAUUAUUCUAAAGGAACCUUUAAAAGAUGAUGGAGAAUUUGUAUAUUGCCUUUCUCGGAAAAAUCGUAAAGGUGUCUAUAAUCCGUAUGACCUCCAGGUGGUCUCUGCUCACAGAGCUAGACAUGGCAAAGAAUUCUGGAUUAUUACAGCAUCAUCUGUCUCCAAGGUUACUAAUGUAGGUGGCGUAGAAGAAGUAGAAUCUGUACCGACUGUGGAAUGGCUUUUAGAAAGAACGUGUUACCAUUUAUUGCAGCAGUUCAGGAUAUUUUCCAAGUUUCGAAUUAAUAAAGCAUUUGUUACUUGGAAAUUGAAUGUUAGAAGAAUUAAGACAGAGAAGAGCAGGUCAUUUUUGUGCCACCAUCUUUUUGGGGCUGAUGAGUUAUUUCAAGGCUGUCUGCUCUAUGUAAAGGGACUUUGUGAAGAUGCAGUUGAUGGCAAACAUGGAAAAGAAUAUGAAGAAACUCCAUCUGCCAUUUGCCUCAUCAAGCUGGAUAGGUCCCGAACGUAUUCUCUGGAUGGAUUUUGUGAAGAACAGGCACGGCAGGCUACCCAGGCAGUGAAACAGCUUGAGGAUAUCAGAGAGAAGGCUAUUUGCGAAAUGAAACGUACAUUUUUAAAGGUGGCAGAAAAGAAAGAAAUUAAAGAAUAUUUUGAGUCAAACCUCUCUGAAGACUACACAACACAUUUCAAGCUGCCUGAAUGUCGACGUUUAUUAGAAACAAUUUUGAGGUUUCUGAUGCUGGUUGACUACAUGUUUCAGGAACUCAUCCGUCAACUGAUGAACACUGCCGUCACACUGCUUUUGGAAUUAUUUAAUAAUUCUGCUAGAGUGCCAUUUUCAAGGGAGAGAAAGAAUGAAAAGCUCAUCAAAAUGUACAAGAAUAUCUUUACUUUCCCUGGAAAGAUAACAAAUGAUGGUGAAGAAUUUGUUGGCAAUUCAAAUUUACGUGCCACUUCUGUUUUAAAGUCAGAAGUGAAAAUGGAAGCAGAUAUUAAUGAGAUUUUGAAUCAUAUCAAAGUGGAGAGCAAUUUGAGGAAAGUAUAUGCACCAGUAUUUGAAGUGACUCUACGCUUGAGGUCUCCUGAAGAGAGUGACUCUUCAGAAACUUCCACAGAGAACUUUCAUGAGUCUGACAAUGGCUCUGAAGAACCUGGGGUGUGUGAACAAGAGGAGGCACCAAAAAAUGAAGUCAGUUGUGUCAUAAAACAGUCGAGUGAAGAAAUGCCAAUAAUGAAGAAACCAAAAAAAGUUUGUUACAACCUUGAAGAAAUACCUUCAGACAUAGAAAUCAUGACCGAGUUCGAGAAUAAAUACAUGUGUGAUGAGUUUUCAGAAUUUGCUACAAAUCUCUUCAUAGUUCCCAACAGAUUAGAUUUUUCAAGAAAAAUUCAAAAUAUGGUGACUGACAUUGAAAAACAUAUAACCAAGAUUAUUCCUCUUUGCCAAGAUCCCCGCCUGUCUGUCUUUACUGAAUCGGUUUUAAUUGUGAAUUUACCUAAUAAGACUGAAAGUGGCAUUGCCUGUAAGAAGACAACCAGAUGGCCAGAUUGUCAGGUUCUUUUUGAAAUGGAUCCUACCUACCAAAACAAAAUUGCCAGUCUCCUGACUAUUAUUGGUAACUCAAUGGGCCUGGUUAGUGCUUACAGCUGCCAGUUUAGAAAAUACUGUACCAUCGUACAGAGUGCCAAAGUCAUGAGUAUGAAAAUGUCCUCUAUGGAAGAAUUAACUCCAACACAGUUUAAAACUAUACUAGCUAAAUUCAGAAAGUAUCUGAAACACAUUGUCAACAUGGUCAUUGAGAAACGCAUUGGUAUUUUCAAUGUUACAAGUCUCGAUUAUCAGUCAGAAUGCUUACCAUAUGUUGAGAAUAUCAUACGUCUGAGUCACGACCUCCUGCGAUCUGUAAUUGAAAACAAGAGCACAAAUCUAUUAGAAGUUGUGGAGACCUCACUGAGGAAGAUGGAGUGCGAUCCCACUGAAAUUGAAGAAUUUGUGGAACAUUUUGCUUUUUUGGAGGGGAUUUCCUCAAAAUUGUCUGUGUUAGAGAAAGAACACUCCGUCGUUGCUCAGCUGCAUUCUGUUGUAAGGUAUUACCAGGUCCAGAUUUCAGGAGAGCAAAUUGCCAUCUAUAAAAUUCUUCUCGUCAAGUUUGGGCAGCUAAAAACCUCCAUGAAGUUAAGGGAGAUGAAUAAAGACGCCGCUAUUGCUAAAUUCAGAGACAAUCUGGAAGCUCACAUCACGGGUCUGCGAGUUGACGUCAGCAACUUGAAGGCCAAGAUCAGAACUCCUGUUCUGCUCUGUGCCGAGACUGGUGUGGCCAGCGCCAUGGAGAUGAUGCAGACACUCACGGAGGAAGCCGCAGGUCUGGCUCACAAAGCUAGAACCUACUCCAAAUUCCAGCAUUGCUUUGACGAUGCCGAGUCCCACAUGCACUCCCUGAACAUGGAGGACAUCGCGCAGAUCGUCCGUGCGGAGAUCGCCGACAUCGAGUAUGACCUGACCUUGAGGAAGACACUGUGGGCUGCACAGGAGGAAUGGAGAACGCUCCUUAGGGAGUGGAGGAACAGACCUCUCCACAGUGUCGACACAGAAUCCAUGCAGAGAAACGUUUCAAGAUGGAUGCAUGUGAUCUCCGUGCUAGAGAAAGGUUUACCUAAAAACGACCUGGUGACCCAUCUUAAGCAAUCAGUGACAGAAUUUAAACAAGAGCUGCCUACUAUCAUAGCUCUGGGAAACCCCUGUCUGAAGCCAAGGCACUGGGAUGCUCUCCAGAUUAUUGGAAAGUCAGUUUCUCUUGAUAAGAACUGCACAGUAGAGAAUCUUCUAGCUCUCAAGAUGUUUCAGCACCACAACGAAAUAAACGAAAUCUCAAUCUCCGCCACUAAGGAGGCUAUUCUUGAGAAAACGCUGUUUAAGAUUAUUGAUCUGUGGAACACGACCCCGUUACACUUGGUUGUGCAUCACUCCGAGACGUACUCCGUCCUGAUCAUUUCGUCCAUAGACGACAUACUCACUCAGCUGGAAGAGUCUCAGGUCACACUGGCAACAGUUAAAGGGUCUUCCUCUCUCGGGCCCUUUAAGGAUCUUGUGGAAAAGUGGGAUCAGAACUUGUCUCUCUUCUCUUCUACUCUUGAGGAAUCGAUGAAUUGUCAAAGAAAUUGGCUUUAUCUGGAACCAAUCUUUCAUUCUGUGGAAAUACAAAGGCAACUCCCUGUGGAAGCAAAACUCUUCUCUCAAGUGAUCUCCAUGUGGAGAGAAAUCAUGUCAAAAAUACAGAACAAGCUGGAUGCUUUGCGAAUAACCAUUUCUGCAGGCGUCCUUGAAACUCUGCAGAAUUGCAAUCUGCAUCUUGAACAUAUAAUGAAAAGUCUUGAGGACUACCUUGAAACUAAAAGAAUGAUUUUCCCCAGAUUUUACUUUCUCAGCAACACUGAACUUCUCGACAUCAUAGCGAAUAGCAGAAAUCCAGAGUCUCUACAGCCUCAUCUUGCGAAAUGUUUUGAAAAUAUAAAACGGUUACUGCUGUGGAAGCAAGAAAUUGGGCCCCCUGCCGUCAUAAUGCUCAUAUCCGCUGAAGGAGAGUGCCUUCUGCUGCCCAAGAAAAUUCGAGUAAGAAGUGCCGUGGAACAGUGGCUGGUAAAUGUUGAGAAAAGCAUGUUUGAUGUGCUGAAAAAAUUUGUAAGUCAAGGGGUCGAAGACUGGAGCUACCAGACUUUUUCCGUGUGGGUGGUGUCUCAUCCGGGACAAGUGGUCCUCACAGUGAGCCAGAUCAUGUUUUCUAAUGAUUGCAUCAGAAGUUUUGCGAGCUCUCGUUCAAGAGAGGAGCUGGAGAAAGUCCGUGCUGGUCUGAUGGGUCAGCUGGAGGAGAUUUCGGAGCUUGUGGCACUGGAUUGCGGUAACGCGCGCACGAAAGCCGUCCUGGGGGCGCUGCUCACGCUGUACGUUCACUGCAGAGACGUAGUGGGGGACCUGCUGCUGAAAGGGGUCUUCAGCGCAGAUGAUUUUGAGUGGACAAGACAUUUGCAGUAUCAGUGGAACGAAAAACAACAGCUGUGCUACGUGUCCCAAGGCGAUGCCAGCUUUACUUAUGGCUACGAGUACCUGGGCUGUACCCCCAGACUGGUCCUUACGCCCCUCACCAACAGGUGCCAGCUCACGCUCACGGGGGCUCUGCUCUUGAAUCUCGGAGGCUGCCCCUCUGGGCCCACUGGGACGGGCAAAACAGAGAGUGUCAAAGAUCUAGCAAAGUCAUUAGGCAAACAUUGUGUGGUGUUCAACUGUUUUGAGGAUUUGGAUUAUAAGAUAAUAGGAAGACUCUUCCUCGGACUGGUUCAGUCGGGAGCGUGGUGCUGUUUGGACGAGUUCAAUCGGAUCGAUGUGCAGGUCCUCUCUGUGAUUGCGUCGCAGAUCCUAACAAUUAAGGCCACAAAAGACAGCUAUUUGGUCAGGUUUGUACUGGAAGGAAAAGACAUUCGUAUCAAUAUGUCUUGUGCGGUAUUUGUCACCAUGAAUCCUGAGUACAAAGGUCGAGUAGAACUCCCAGAUAACUUAAAAUCUCUGUUUCGCCCAGUGGCGAUGAUGGCUCCCCAUUAUCAAAUGAUUACUGAAAUAAUGCUGUUUUCAUCCGGUUUCAAAUCUGCAAAAUCCCUCUCUGGAAAGCUGGUUAGCAUUUACGAAUUAGCUAACAAACAGCUCUCACAACAGGAUCAUUAUGAUUUUGGCUUGAGGUCUCUAAAGACAGUUUUAAUAGCGGCUGGAAAGAAGAAAUGGGAGUUUAAACGUAACACCAAUAGCGAGCUUUCUGAAACGGAUGAAAGUCUGAUCCUUACCGAGGCUGUAAGAGAAGCUAGUUUACCAAAAUUUCUCCCUGAAGAUGUCCCACUUUUUGAAAAGAUCAUGGCAGACAUUUUUCCUGGAGCAGCAGUUCCGACAGAAAAUCAAGUUGCCUUGGAGAAAGUAGUAUCUAUUGCAACACAACAGUUGGGUUUCCAUCAGUGGCCAGCUCAGAACAAGAAAACCAUACAGUUUUAUAAUCAACUUCAGACUUGUGUUGGUGUGAUGUUAGUAGGCCCAACAGGUGGAGGAAAAACAACAGUCAGAAGAAUUUUAGAAAGAGCAUUAACACUAUUACCAAUUGAAGACUUCCUAUCAACUAAAGAAAGCGAAUCUAUUUCACAGGUUCCAGGAAGAAAAGGAAAGGUAGAUAUUUGUGUUUUAAAUCCAAAGUGUAUCACUCUUAGUGAACUAUAUGGACAACUGGACCCUAACACUAUGGAAUGGACUGAUGGAUUAUUAUCAAGCACAGUUCGAAAUUAUGUACAUUCUAAUACUGCAAGGUACUCAAAAAAAGACAGCGAUCUUGGACUGAAAUCAAGAAUCUCGGAUGCAUCUAAUGUUUUCAAACUUGAUUCCUCUGAUAUAGCAGAUAUUGACGAUAAUAUUUCUAAGAAGGAGAUGGAGAAAGAUGUUAAAAUCCCAGAAAGUCAGAACCACGAUUGGCAGUGGAUUAUUUUGGAUGGUCCAGUGGAUACGUUUUGGGUAGAAAAUCUAAACUCCAUGCUGGAUGAUACUAGAACGCUGUGUCUGGCAAACAGUGAGCGAAUAGCCUUAACUAGUAACAUGCGAGUGGUUUUUGAGACGGACAGUCUCUCUCAGGCCAGUCCUGCAACCGUCAGCCGGUGUGCAAUGGUCUACAUGGAUCCUGUUGAUCUGGGAUGGGAGCCCUAUGUCAAGUCAUGGCUGUUGAAAACUUCUAAAAUUAUGAGUCAAACAGGAGUGAGUUGUCUCGAAUUCUUGAUUAAAAAUAGCGUCACAGACGGACUACAGUUUAUAAAGAAGCAUCAGAAAUGUCAGCCGUUUCCUGUACAGGACCUAGCAGUGGUCACAACUCUCUGCAGGAUUCUUGAUGCCUUCUUUGAGUUCAUGAGUGAAAAUGGAGGCUUUGGAAAAUGUGACGAUUGGAAGGACGUUUCAACUGGGGAGAAAAAUUCUCCACGUGCAAAAGUUUCUGCCAAAUUCAAGAAUACAGAAGAGAGAGCUGAAAGUACAUGGUAUCUGGAAAAGAAUCCUGAUAAAUUGAAAGUAGUGAUUCAGAAGCUCUUCAUGUUUGCAUUUACGUGGGCGUUUGGAGGCGUUUUACAGCAUGAAAGUGACCUUGAAGGUGAGACGGUGCUGUAUCGGAGCUGUGAUCCCAGUUCAGCCGCCAGAGUCACUUAUGGCUUCGACAAUCUCGUCCGCAAACUGUUUGAAAAUAACCCACAAGUAGGUAUCAGCCUACCAACUGGUAAGCACUCGAUCUUUGGGUAUUUUGUGGAUUUACAGCAAUGCGAAUUCCUACCAUGGUCAGAGUUACUUCCUAGUAUUCAGACCCUCAUUCAGAAAGGAACUUCAAUGCUAGCUGACCCGCAAGCAUCCAGCGAGAACCUCUUGAAGAUCACAGAGUACGGCGAGAACAUCAACCAUAUCGCCACCAGCGACACGGUGUCCUUUUCUUUCCUCAUCAGCCUUCUUUUAAAGAAUUUCUGCCCUGUACUUCUCACAGGAGACUCUGGUGUUGGGAAAACCACUACCAUUAAUCAAAUGCUUGAAAGGUUGGAGGGCCCUGGAGCAUUUGAUGUGAAAUAUGGGUCAAUUUUAGGAGAAGUCCUGUUGUAUAACGAAAUUAAAAAAUCAAGCCUGAAGCAGAAUAUCAACAUCUUGCUCUCUGAAAGUCACAAGACAGGAUCCGCAGGUCUAGUUGGGAAGACUAUUAAAAAGCCAGAAGUCAAAACUGAAGAAAGUUCACUGAAAGACAAUAAUAAAGGAAUUAUCGUCUCAACGAUAAAUUUUAGCAUCAGUAUGACCGCUGCCAAAGCCAAGGAGAUGAUCCUUAAGAAGUUAGUAAGAAGAACGAAAGACAGUCUUGGAGCGCCAAAGAGCAACCAGAUUGUAAUAUUCAUUGAUGACCUGAAUGUGCCCGAAUCGGACACGUAUGGGGCACAGCCGCCCCUGGAGUUAGUCAGACAGCUACUGGAUUUGGGAGGACUUUACGAUACCAAAAAACUCACGUGGAAGAAUAUUCAAGAUCUUUCUCUGGUUGCCGCUUGUGUCCCUUCAGUAGCCAGGAGGCACAUGAGCCCGCGCCUCCUCAAACACUUUUCCGUUCUGGUGCUGCCGCAUCCUUCACAGAGCGCCUUACGUACGAUUUUCCAGGCUCAUUUGGGAAUGUAUUUCUCCAUCAAUAACUUCACCGUCGACGUCCAGAGAAGUAAGGAUCAAACAACAUCUUGCUCUCUGGCUGUGUACCACCAAGUGUGCCAGAACAUGCUGCCGACCCCCGCCAAGUGCCACUACAUAUUUAACCUUCGAGACAUGUUUAAGCUUCUCCUAGGCUUGCUACAAGCUGAGAAGGCCGUUAUCAACUCCAAAGAGACGGCGGCCCUGUUCUUUGUUCACGAAGCCACUCGAGUGUUCCAUGAUCGUCUGAUUGACUCUGCUGAGAAAGGACUUUUCUAUCAGUUUCUUUCAAAAGAACUUGAGAAUUAUUUUCAGAUUAAUUGGACCAAAGAAAAACUGAUGGACGACUCAAUUGUCUUUGUGGAUUUCUUGGAUAUAAACAAGCCUCACAGAAAAAAGUUCUAUCAGAGCACCAGCAACUAUGAGAAACUGGCCAGUGUACUGAAUGAAUUCCAAAUGAAGCUGAGUUUAUCAUCCUCGGAGACUUCUCAUUCCAUGGUGUUCUUCAAGGAAGCCAUAGAACACAUCGCAAGAGCGGCCAGGGUCCUCCGGCAGCCGGGGAGUCACAUGUUACUGAUUGGAGUAGACGGGUGUGGGAAGGAAGCGUGUGCGACCCUGGCGUGUCACCUGAUGGAGUGCAAGCUGUCCCCCGUGCCCUCAGCUCACAGUCAGGCCCAUGCGGAGUUCAAAGAAGCCCUCAAAAGGGGGGUUAUCCAAGCAGGAUUAGAAGGGAGCCCCACCGCUUUGAUAGUUGCUAACAUAAACCUAAAGCAGGAGUCAUUUUUGGAAGAUUUGGACAGCGUUCUCAACUUGCAGAAAACCCUUGACUUGUUUGAAGAUGACGAGCUGGGCUCCGUCGCGCUACAGAUCCGAUCCUUUGCUGAGCCGUCUGGUUCUGUUGACGACAGGCAGUCUUUACUCGCACUCUUCCAGAAGAGAAUACAUAAAAAUCUUCACGUCUUUGUGACCGUGAGUCCCACAGGACCCAGCUUCCGCCAGCAGUGCCGACUGCGCCCUUCCGUGGUCACCGCCUGCACGGUGGACUGGUACGGGGAGUGGCCAGAGGAUGCCCUCCUCGCUGUGGCCGAUUCUUUCCUAAGAGAGAAGGUGGAUUUAGGGAGCAGGGAGCACUUAAAAGAAAAACUCGCCUUGACGUGUGUCCAAAUCCAUAAAAGCAUAAAAGACUUGAACACAAAAUACUUUCAGAAAACCGGACGGCGUAAUUACGUCACUCCCAACAGCUACUUGCGAUUCAUGGAUACAUUUGCUCACAUUUUGAGGUCACGCCAGAAGGAAAUGCAAGCAAAGAGGAGUCGUUUGCACAUGGGCCUGUCCAAGAUCCUGGAAGCCAGCGCUCUGGUUACAGAAACACAGGAGGAGCUCUUGAUUCUUGGCCCUCAGAUAGAACAAAAAACAAAGGAAAAGGAAGCCCUGAUGGAAAGGCUGUGGAGAGAUUCACAAGUAGUUGAGAAAGUUCAGAUGCUGGUUCAACAAGAUGAAGAAAUUAUGGCAGAAGAAGUCAGAAUUGUGGAAGAAUGUGCUCAGAGAACCGCCAGAGAGAUAAGGAGUGUGCUGUCAGCUCUGGACAAGGCCACCGUGGCCCUGAGCACCCUGGAUAAAGCCGACAUCACCGAGCUAAGGGUGUACACGCGGCCUCCCUCCCUCGUGCUGAUGGUCAUGAACGCUGUGUGCAUUCUUCUGCAGAAGAAACCCAACUGGGCCUCGGCGAAGUUGCUUCUUUCUCAAACCGGUUUCCUAAAAAAACUGAUCAACCUGGACAGGGACAGCAUCCCCGACAAGGUUUUCAUGAAGCUGAAAAAAAUUUUGCUCUUCCCUGAUUUCAACCCAAACAAGAUUGCCCUCGUUUCUAUAGCCUGUUGCUCUAUGUGCCAGUGGGUCAUAGCCUUGAAUAACUAUCAUGAAGUGCAGAAGCUCGUGGGCCCCAAGCAGAUCCAAGUGGCAGAAGCUCAACGUGUCCUAAAAAUUGCACGACAGAGGCUGGCCGAAAAACAAAGAGGUUUGCAGCGGGUGGAAGAACACGUGCUGGCCUUGCAGGCGGCCUACAAAGACCUCGUGGCCAAAAAGCAGCUGCUAGCAAACAGAAGGAAACGGGCCACCGGGCGCCUGCAGUGUGCAUCUGUCUUACUAACCGGCCUGGAAGGCGAGAAGACUCAAUGGCCAGAAACAAUCGAUCAAAUAGACAAGAAGUUGGAAAGAAUCUGGGGUGACGUGCUUCUUUCAGCAGCGUGCAUCGUCUACAGCGGGGCGUUGACAGCAGAAUUUCGCCAGUUGAUUGUGAACAAAUGGGAGACUCUCUGCACCGAAAACAGCAUCCCUUUGUCGCCCAACUUUUCUUUAAUUGAAGUCAUGGCCCCAAACCACGAGAUCCGCCGGUGGCAUUCUCAGGGGCUCCCGCCCGGUCAGUAUUCAGCGGAGAACGCUAUCUUGACCAGGAACAGCCUGCAGUGGCCACUGCUGAUUGACCCACAUAAGCAGGCUCACAACUGGAUCCGGCAGACGGAAGGGUCCAGGCUGCAGGAGCUCUCCAUGGAGGACGGCAGCCACAUCCAAACUAUUGAAAAUGCUGUGAAGACAGGAGGGAGUGUCCUCUUGCAGAAUCUCCCUGAAACAUUAGCUCCAAGUUUAAAAGCAAUUUUGAAGAAGGAGAUCUAUCAGAAAAGAGGACGAUAUUUCAUAAGGGUUGAGGAUUCUGAGAUUGAAUACAAUUCCCAAUUUAGGUUGUUCAUUUCCACAGAGGUAGACAACCCCCAUCUUCCUCCGUCGGUUUAUAACUUUGUCACCGUGAUCAACUUCACCUUAACGUUCCAAGAUUUGCAGGAUCAACUCCUUUCUACGGUAUUAACUCACGAAGUUCCUCACUUAGAAAGUCAGCGUUUCCAGUUGUCAGAGAGUACAUCCCUUGAUGCUGGGACUCUUGAAGAGCUGGAAGAAACGUUAAGUGUACUGGAGACCGUCCAAGCACGUGUGUUAGAUGAUGAGGAAAUUGUAGACAUCUUAAGAAAAUCCAAAACGACUUCAAAUGAGAUUUCCAAGCGCAUCAAAGCGACAGAAAAAGCAGAAAGUGAAAUCCAAGCGCUGCAGGAACACUACCGGUCUGUCGCGACUCGAGGCGCCCUGCUCUACUUCCUCGUGGCCGGGCUCACCCGCCUCAACUCCAUGUACCAGUUCUCCCUGGACUGGUUUCGCCAGGUGUUCGUUCGAUCAGUAGCUCCCCGAAGCAAAGAACAGGAACACGGCCUGAAGAGGGAGAAAACGUCUCAGAAAAAAGUUGGUGAUAUCACAGACCUCGCCAAGGAACCAAAGUUAGAGAGCGACAGGCACCUCUUAGAGAAACAUCUUCAACAGUCAGUAGAUGUGCUGACAAGAAAUGUUUUUAAGGUGGUGUCCUCAGCUCUGUUUCACCAACACAAGCUGUGUUUCUCCUUCCGGCUUUGCACCAUGAUCAUGCAGAAUAAUGCUGGGGGCAGUCCAGUGCCGGAUGACAUCGGGUCCCUAUCGGACGAAGAAUGGGACAUCUUCUUACAUUCCGACACAUUGACGAACGUUAAAGGUGUGAUGCCCCAGCCUAGACUUAACAACAGGUAUGAAACUUGCAGAAAUCGGCACCUUCAGUGGUUGUCGGAUUCCACGUGGAAGCAGUGUCUGUACGUCAGCCACGAACUUGAACCGUUCGCUCUGCUGUGCGAGUCCCUUCUAUCAAAUGUGUCGCAGUGGGACGCUUUCAAAAGCAGUAAGGCUGUCUAUUGCCUGAUGAGCCUGCCUUUCUCUCCAGAAAAGGCUCCAGCGGAGGAAAGGAAGAAACCACCGGAGGGAACUGAACUUCUGAAUGAAGUUGAAGAAAUAUAUAGUCCUGUGAAUUUCCGCUGGGAGAAACUCACUCCAUUUCAAAGACUCAUUCUGAUCAAAAUUCUUCAGCCGGAGCAGCUAAAGAAUUCAGUGAGAAGGUUUGUAACUGAAAAAAUGGGAGAUGAAUAUGCUCUCAGGACUGGAAUUCGUUUGCAAGAGUCCUAUGAGGGAUCCAGUGCCACAACGCCACUGAUACUUCUGCACUCCCACGGGACUGACCUCACCAACAUGCUCCUGAAGUUUGCGCAAGAGUUGAAAGGAAGAACGCAGCAUGUGACGGUGCUUUCCCUGGGCCGUGGCCAGGCCGCUAAGGCAGAAGAGGUCAUUGUGAAGGCCCUGAGCAGCCCCACACAGUGGGUCUUCCUCCAGAACUGCCAUCUCGCCACGUCGUUCAUGCCACGGCUCUGCUCCAUCAUAGAAUCAUUUAACAGCCCACAUGUGACAGUGGACCCUGGGUUCAGGCUGUGGUUAAGCUCAAAGUCGGGCAGUUCUUUCUUGAUUCCUAUUCUUCAAAGGAGCUUAAAGAUCGCAGUGGAAAAUCCGCAAGGAUUGAAGAGUAUCUUACUGCAGACGUUUGGAUACAGUGGCAGUGGAGUGGUGACAGAAGAGACAUUUGGAAAACUGGACUGUGGACCGUGGUGGAAAAAGCUUUUAUUCGGCUUAUGUUUUUUCAAUGCUCUAAUCAACGAGAGAAAAAAUUAUGGAACACUGGGCUGGAAUAUUGCUUACAAAUUUAGUUCUUCAGACUUGGAGGUUGCCAUAAAGGUGCUGGAGAACUCCCUGAAUGCACAGACCGGUAUUUCGUGGCAGAAACUGCACUACCUCAUUGGGGAAGUGACUUACGGCGGCCGGGUGACGGACACCUGGGACAGGCGGUGUCUAAACACCCUUCUGCACAAAUUCUGUAACCCGGAAGUGCUGAAAGAUGACUUCAGUUUCUCCAGUGAUGAGAUACAUCAGCCAGUGCCGAAAUCCGCGAGCUUGAGGGAUUACAUACACAUUGUCCAGUCCUUACCUGACGACGACACGCCUGGGCUCUUGGGACUGCACCCAGAGGCCAUAAGGGGUGGCAGAGAGAUCCAGGGCCGGCACCUUGUGGACAGUCUCAUUACCAUGCAACCCGGGACCAGCGCUGACCUCGUGGUCUGUCCCGAGCAGAGUAACGACAAACUGCUGAUGGAAAUCCUGUCUGACCUGCUACUGCGGCUACCGAGGUCUGUGGAGAAGGAAGAAUGUGCUGGAACACCCAGCACCUUGAAGUGCAUCAUAUCCAGCCCCCUCUGGGAGUCUCUCUGUAAGAGCAUCCAAGGCUAUGAUCCCCUCAUCCACUGUGUCCUGCUAACCUUUCUGAGCCAAGAAAUCGAACGAUUUGAUAAGUUCUUACUUGUUGUGCAUGAAUCUUUGAAAGGCCUUCAACUUGCAAUAAAAGGAAAAACCAUCCUCACCCAAGAACUGGAGGAAAUGUAUGAGUCUUUUCUCAAUGGAAGAGUGCCUACGCUGUGGCAGAAACAUGCCUACAAGUCCUGUAAGCCUCUGAGUUCCUGGGUUAACGAUCUCAUCCAGCGAGUGAAUUUCUUCAACACUUGGGCCAAAAUGGCUUACACUGCAAUACAUCAUCGGUACAUGAGAUUUGUCGCCACCGGGAAGCAUUCCAUUCCAUCAUCCACCCAAAACCCCAGAUCCUCUGACAAUAAAACCAGUGAUUUCUGUGAAGGAUUUCCUGCAAGAUACUGGCUCCCAGCUUUCUUCUUUCCGCAAGGCGAGAAUUGGCGGUGGCCCGGAAGGACGACAGAGGAGGGUGGAAGAGAAUAGUCGUAGGACGCUGAGGGAGCAGAGAGGGAGGCUCCCCGGUCUUGGGCUCAGAGAGCUGGGUGGCGGCUGACGACCAUUACUGACACAGGGACACGGGGACACAGGGAGAGGAGCAACGUGAUGGGCAGAGAGGUGGCCGACACCUGUCAAGUCUGAGACGUUCGGAGGAGACCGCAUGGUGGGCGGUGGGCAGGUGGCUCUAGGGGGCUGGAGCUCAGGAGACACGGGGGCUCGACAGCGUGGCAGUGUCACUGAGCGCCUGGGGGACAGGGCCAGGGCGUGCCGGCUGCCACCAGAAGCACAAAGAGGUUGGUGGCCCCAGUCUUGUCCCCUGGAGGCCGCGGACCCCCGAGAGGCGCACAGAGGAGGGCCGGGGCAGAGACGGCCUCUCGGGCCUUGGAAAGUUCUGAGGAAAUUUGGAGAAAGAGCGUCCCAGGAGGAGGGCAGGAGCGAAGUCACCAGCCGGGUGCCCGCUCAGACAUUUCCCACAACGGCACAGCACGGGAAACAUGCCAGUGUGGCGGGGGCCUCAGUGCCCAGGUGACUCGCCUUUCUCGUGGCCGUGCUUCACGACUACGGACGGUCCCAGGGAAUCUCUCUCGGCGCCCUCACGUUUGCCCACCGUGUGAUCUCGGACACCGCUGACAGCAGAGACGAGGGGUUCUCCGCGGCCAUCCACGGGAACCUC